CCGCCCACGAAGUAAUAAAUUGACAUCCUACAAAAUUUUGUAAAUAAAAUCACAUUUGGACCGGUAAUGUUAGUUGGAAUGAUAUAAUCCGAGACCUAAAAUGAGUAGAAUUCAAGGUCCUAUAAUAAUAUGUUAAGAAGGGCAAGGACUCUGAACACAUACCAUAUGCUGUGGAAAAGUAAAGGACAGAAGGUACUCAAAAAACUGAUGAUUGUUGUCUUUCAAGCCCAUCCAGAUCAGCUUCGUCCUUACUAGUACUUUUUUCUCUUGCUGUAUCUUAUAUAAUAAAGUAGGGUAUACUCUCUCCUCCUCCUGCCACGUCACCCUGGAGAGAAGGGCAUUUCGCGACACGUGGCGCCUUCCCAGACCAUUUGCGCUUUUUGUUUCAAGCCGGUUCUCGACGUACCCUUAUUUGAAUUGGGCUUUUAUUUUAAUGUGGUUCUUGACAUGCACUUAUUUGACCGGGACUUUAUUACAUUUACAGCUUCUGCGUUUAAGACUUGACUCUUGGAAUCUCGAAACCUACACAAAGCCUCUAUAACGUCUUCAGCUUUGGUCAAGCAGAUCCAUUUUUCCCAAGCAUAAACGUCGAUCGUACCACUCUGCCCACUCUUUCGCAUUAACUCGGCAUCAUCAUCCAUAGGCUGGUUGAUGUUCAAACUCCGCCUAGAUCCGCCUUCUGAGGUUUCGGAAGCAAGGUAUAUCAAUUGACAGUGUGAGGCUGGUACUCUAUUUCAGCGGUGGUGGAAGAUGUAAGCAGAGACGGUGGAGCCGCGGCGGAAGUGAGUGAGGAAUCGUCUGGGUCACGGCGGUAGAAGUUAUGGUGGCAACCGCACGCGGCACUUGAGGGAAGUUGGAUCAGAAGAUGUGAAGGUAGGAGACGACAUGAAUUCGCUGCAAACGUCGAGCGCGUUACCUCCAAUCGCAGCUGCGCGGUUCUGUAGUGACGGUGGUUGAGUGGUGGUGGAUGUGGUGGCGGCGUUUGAUGACUCCAUUGCUGAAGGAGAUUGGUUUAGCUGGUUGAAUCUGGGCCGGAGUUUCGGAUUUUUGGGAUAUUUAGGGGGAUAUUUAGAAGUCAUAUCCAUUGCUCCAACUUCAAGCAUCUAUGGUUUUUUUAUUUUCAAGCAUCUAUGUUUAGCUCUUGAGAGUACCGUAGCUUAGGGAGAUCUCGUGUAGAUCUGAUCAAAUAUGAUUAGUUUCUGGUGUAUAAUAGUAAAUGACUUAUCUUUACUGUUAGAAUUGUUACCGGUAUCAUCGUCUUGUUGCAGCCAUGUUUCUGAUGAUCAUGUCUUAAAAGUUCCAAACUUGUAGGAUUCUCUCAUGCUUCAAGUUGAACCCGUUUGAGCAUCUUAACCUAUUUUUAAACGGCAGUACACAAAAGUAUUCUUCAGUUUUGUCACACUGUGAAGACAUUUUAAUUUUACUAAUGAUUUCUUCUGGUGAU